AUAUUACAGAGUUGAUUCAAGGCUCAUUUGUAGCCUUCCAUGCAACCCCUUAAACCUAGAAAUAAAAGGAAAAUAUAGUCAUUCAUGAUGUUUCCAAGUUGUAGUAGGAUUCUUUUGUUUUU
rnacentral:sRNA from 1 species